rnacentral:rRNA from 1 species
AACGAACGCUGGCGGCAGGCCUAACACAUGCCAGUCGAGCGCGCCCUUCGGGGUGAGCGGCGGACGGGUGAGUAACGCGUGGGAACGUGCCCUUUUCUACGGAAUAGCCUCGGGAAACCGAGAGUAAUACCGUAUACGCCCUUUGGGGGAAAGAUUUAUCGGAAAAGGAUCGGCCCGCGUUGGAUUAGGUAGUUGGUGGGGUAAUGGCCUACCAAGCCGACGAUCCAUAGCUGGUUUGAGAGGAUGAUCAGCCACACUGGGACUGAGACACGGCCCAGACUCCUACGGGCGGCAGCAGUGGGGAAUCUUAGACAAUGGGGGCAACCCUGAUCUAGCCAUGCCGCGUGAGUGAUGAAGGCCUUAGGGUUGUAAAGCUCUUUCAGCUGGGAAGAUAAUGACGGUACCAGCAGAAGAAGCCCCGGCUAACUCCGUG